UACGUAGGGGGCAAGCGUUGUCCGGAUUUAUUGGGCGUAAAGAGCGUGUAGGCGGCCUGAAAGGUCAGCUGUGAAAACUCGAGGCUCAACCUCGAGACGUCGGUUGAAACCAUCUGGCUAGAGUCCGGAAGAGGAGAGUGGAAUUCCUGGUGUAGCGGUGAAAUGCGCAGAUAUCAGGAAGAACACCCGUGGCUAAGGCGGCUCUCUAGUACGUGACUGACGCUGAGACGCGAAAGCGUGGGGAGCGAACAGG
rnacentral:rRNA from 1 species